rnacentral:lncRNA from 1 species
GAUUCCAUGCUCGAUCAAGUUGGCUUUCAGAAUAUUUGAAUUGAGGUAAAACGAACACAGAAAAAUAAACACACAAAAGAGCUUGAGGUCGUCCCUGCCUAAUAAAAGAAAAAUAAAAAUAAAAUACUGCAAGCUCUACUUUUAGCCUCCAAAUACAAGUACUACGGGACAUUCCCCGGAAUAAAAUAUACACAAGUCCCUCGGGGAAUUCCCCGGAUAAAUUUAACUAAGGGAACAACCUCUCGCCUCAAAAUUAACAAAACUCUUAAGGCUUGCCUACCCAAAUGAUGACGGCCUAACAUGCUCCUAGCGGAUGCAAUAUAGCAAAUAAAAGAGAACUAAGUAAAAAGGAGAUUUCAUUCAUGCUCAAAUUCUUUUAGUCUCUUAAAUCCCAACCCUCAUAACCCGCAUUCAUCAAUAAAGAUAUAUGCACAAUGUGAUGUAUGGCAUUCAAAACAGAAAAAACACAAAAGAAAGAAAGGUGAAAAUAAAAGGCAUACUUAAACGUAAAUCACAUCAUCUAAAUGCAAACAAGGAAUUGGCAAUGCCAACUGAACAAUUUCUCAUAGUGACUUGCCAACACAAAGCAAGGAAAAUAACUACAACCUUGGCAUGGUUAACUACGGAAUUUGCAUCUUUAAAACUACUCUACAAGAAAGACUCAUGACUGAAAAUGAAUAUCAACGUCACUGACAUUGUGAUUUUAUGCUCCAACCCAUAUGAUGUCGAAACCUUAAGAUACUACUCUUAUGAAAAACACAUUUUCCUUUAACAGAGUGUUUCACCAUGUUUAAAUCCAUUUACAAAGGACAGAACACUAAAGUACUUCAAAUUUUAUACCAAGCCAGAAAAAGCAAACGCCAGAGAUGUCACACCCCUUCUUUUUUACAAACUCACCAACCCUCUUAAAUAAAUAAAAAAAGAUUUAGUAAAGCUUGAAAAGGGUUUUCCAAUUAGAACGUGACAAAAUUGUGUUCAAAAGGAAAUAACUCAGAGUCGCCACCUGACAUUGGUUUCGGUGUAUCCGGUCACCGUUUUUAUAAAAAUGAUUUUCCUUUUUAAACAUUUUGGACUCCAAAACUAAGUCUGCACCAGAGAUUCGGGUAAGGGGGUUCAUUUGACUCGGGGAUAAGGUGUUAGGCACUCCCCAAGUCUCGUAACUAGUACGGUUGCGUACUUGAUCAAGUUGACUUUCAGAAUAUUCGAAUUGAGGUAAAACGAACACAGAAAAAAAAAACACACAAAAGGGCUCGAGGUCGUCCCCGCCUAAUAAAAGAAAAAUAAAAAUAAAAAUAAAAUACUACAAGCUCUACUUUUGGCCUCCAAAUACAAGUACUAUGGGGCACCCGGAAUAAAAUAUACACAAGUCCUUCGGGGCAUUCCCAGGAUAAAUUUAACUAAGGGAACGACCUCUCGCCUCAAAAUUAACAGAACUCCUAAGGCUUGCCUACCCAAAUGAUGACGGCCUAACAUGCUCCUAGCGGAUGAAAUAUAGCAAAUAAAAGAGAACUAAGUAAAAAGGAGAUUCCAUUCAUGCUCAAAUUCUUUUAGUCUCUUAAAUCCCAACCCUCAUAACCCGUAUUCAUCAAUAAAGAUAUAUGCACAAUGUGAUGUAUGACAUUCAAAAAAGAAAAAACACAAAAGAAAGAAAGGUGCAAAUAAAAGGCAUACUUAAACGUAAAUCACAUCAUCUAAAUGCAAACAAGGAAUUGGCAAUGCCAACUGAACAAUUUCUCAUAGUGACUUGCCAAAACAAAGCAAGUAAAAUAACUACAACCUUGGCAAAGUUAACUACGGAAUUUCCAUCUUUAAAACUACUCUACAAGAAAGACUCAUGACUGAAAAUGAAUAUCAACGUCACUGACAUUGUGAUUUUAAGCUCCAACCCAUAUGAUGUCGAAACCUUAAGAUACUACUCUUAUGAAAAACACAUUUUCCUUUAACAGAAUAUUUCACCAUGUUUAAAUCCAUUUACAAAGGACAGAACACUAAAGUACUUCAAAUUUUAUACCAAGCCAAAAAAAGCAAACGCCAGAGAUGUCACACCCUUUUUUUUACAAACUCACCAACCCUCUUAAAUAAAUAAAAAAAAGAUUUAGUAAAGCUUGAAAAGGGUUUUCCAAUUAGAACGUGACAAAAUUGUGUUCAAAAGGAAAUAACUCAGAGUCGCCACCUCACAUUGGUUUCGGUGUAUCCGGUCACCGUUUUUAUCAACAUGAUAAUCCUUUUUAAACACUUUGGACUCCAAAACUAAGUCUGCACCACAGAUUUGGGUAAGGAGGUUCAUUUGACUCGGGGAUAAGGUGUUAGGCACUCCCCAAAUCCCGUAACUAGUACGGUUGCGUACUCGAUCAAGUUGACUUUCAGAAUAUUCGAAUUGAGGUAAAACGAACACAGAAAAACAAACACACAAAAGGGCUCGAGGUCGUUCCCGCCUAAUAAAAGAAAAAUAAAAAUAAAAAUAAAAUACUGCAAGCUCUACUUUUGGCCUCCAAAUACAAGUACUAUGGGGCACCCGAAAUAAAAUAUACACAAGUCCUUUGGGCCAUUCCCCGGAUAAAUUUAACUAAGGGAAUGACCUCUCGCCUCAAAAUUAACAGAAGUCCUAAGGCUUGCCUACCCAAAUGAUGACGACCUAAUAUGCUCCUAGCGGAUGAAAUAUAGCAAAUAAAAGAGAACUAAGUAAAAAGGAUAUUCCAUUCAUGCUCAAAUUCUUUUAGUCUCUUAAAUCCCAACCCUCAUAACCUGUAUUCAUCAAUAAAGAUAUAUGCACAAUGUGAUGUAUGGCAUUCAAAACAAACAAAACACAAAAGAAAGAAAGGUCCAAAUAAACGGCAUACUUAAAUGUAAAUCACAUCAUCUAAAUGUAAACAAGAAAUUGACAAUGCCAACUGAACAAUUUCUCAUAGUGACCUGCCAACACAAAGCAAGGAAAAUAACCACAACCUUGACAAAGUUAACUAUAGAAUUUCCAUCUUUAAAACUACUCUACAAGAAAGGCUCAUGAUUGAAAAUGAAUAUCAACGUCACUGACAUUGCGAUUUUAAGCUCCAACCCAUAUGAUGUCGAAACCUUAAGAUACUACUCUUAUGAAAAACACAUUUUCCUUUAACAGAGUGUUUCACCAUGUUUAAAUCCAUUUACAAAGGACAGAACACUAAAGUACUUCAAAUUUUAUACCAAGCUAGUAAAAGCAAACGCCAGAGAUGUCACAACCCUUCUUUUUUAUAAACUCACCAACCCUCUUAAAUAAAUAAAAAAAGAUUUAGUAAAGCUUGAAAAGGGUUUUCCAAUUAGAACGUGACAAAAUUGUAUUCAAAAGGAAAUAACUCAGAGUCGCCACUUGACAUUUGUUUCGGUGUGUCAGGUCACCGUUUUUAUAAAAAUAAUUUUCCUUUUUAAACACUUUGGACUCCAAAACUAAGUCUGCACCAGAGAUUUGGGUAAGGGGGUUCAUUUGACUCGGGGAGAAGGUGUUAGGCACUUCCCAUGUCCCGUAACUAGUAUGGUUGCGUACUUGAUCAAGUUGACUUUCAGAAUAUUCGAAUUGAGGUAAAACGAACACAGAAAAAUAAACACACAAAAGGGCUCAAGGUCGUCCCUGCCUAAUAAAAGAAAAAUAAAAAUAAAAAUAAAAUACUACAAGCUCUACUUUUGGCCUCCAAAUACAAGUACUAUGGGGCAUUCCCCGGAAUAAAAUAUACACAAGUCCUUCGGGGCAUUCCCCGGAUAAAUUUAACUAAGGGAACAACCUCUCGCCUCAAAAUUAACAGAAGUCCUAAGGUUUGUCUACCCAAAUGAUGACGACCUAACAUGCUCCUAGCGAAUGAAAUAUAGCAAAUAAAAGAGAACUAAGUAUAAAGGAGAUUUCAUUCAUGCUCAAAUUCUUUUAGUCUCUUAAAUCCCAACCCUUUUAACCCGUAUUCAUCAAUAAAGAUAUAUGCACAAUGUGAUGUAUGGCAUUCAAAACAGACAAAACACAAAAGAAAGAAAGGUGAAAAUAAAAGGCAUACUUAAACGUAAAUCACAUCAUCUAAAUGUAAACAAGGAAUUGGCAAUGCCAACUGAACAAUUUCUCAUAGUGACCUGCCAACACAAAGCAAGGAAAAUAACCACAACCUUGGCAAAGUUAACUACAGAAUUUCCAUCUUUAAAACUACUCUACAAGAAAGACUCAUGAUUGAAAUGAAUAUCAACGUCACUGACAUUGCGAUUUUAAGUUCCAACCCAUAUGAUGUCGAAACCUUAAGAUACUACUCUUAUGCACAUUUUCCUUUAACAGAGUGUUUCACCAUGUUUAAAUCCAUUUACAAAGGACAGAACACUAAAGUACUUCAAAUUUUAUACCAAGCCAGAAAAAGCAAACGCUAGAGAUAUCACACCCCUUCUUUUUUUACAAACUCACCAACCCUCUUAAAUAAAUAAAAAAAAAAUAUAGUAAAGUUGAAAAGGGUUUUCCAAUUAGAACGUGAUAAAAUUGUGUUCAAAAGGAAAUAACUCAGAGUCACCACCUGACAUUGGUUUCGGUGUGUCAGGUCACUGUUUUUAUAAAAAUGAUUUUCCUUUUUAAACACUUUGGACUCCAAAACUAAGUUUGCACCAGAGAUUCGGGUAAGGGGGUUCAUAUGACUCGGGGAGAAGGUGUUAGGCACUCCCCAAGUCCCGUAACUAGUACAGUUGCGUACUCGAUCAAAUUGACUUUCAGAAUAUUCGAAUUUAGGUAAAACGAACAAAGAAAAAUAAACACACAAAAGGGCUCGAGGUCGUCCCCGCCUAAUAAAAGAAAAAUAAAAGUAAAAAUAAAAUACUACAAGCUCUACUUUUGGCCUCCAAAUACAAGUACUAUGGGGCAUUCCCCGGAAUAAAAUAUACACAAGUCCUUCGAGGCAUUCAACGGAUAAAUUUAACUAAGGGAACGACCUCACGCCUCAAAAUUAACAGAAGUCCUAUGGCUUGCCUACCCAAAUGAUGACGACCUAACAUGCUCCUAGCGGAUGAAAUAUAGCAAAUAAAAGAGAACUAAGUAAAAAUGAGAUUCCAUUCAUGCUCAAAUUCUUUUAGUCUCUUAAAUCCCAACCCUCAUAACCUGUAUUCAUCAAUAAAGAUAUAUGCACAAUCUGAUGUAUGGCAUUCAAAACAGACAAAACACAAAAGAAAGAAAGGUGCAAAUAAAAGGCAUACUUAAACGUAAAUCACAUCAUCUAAAUGUAAACAAGGAAUUGGCAAUGCCAACUCAACAAUUUCUCAUAGUGACCUGCCAACACAAAGCAAGGAAAAUAACCACAACCUUGGCAAAGUUAACUACAAAAUUUCCAUCUUUAAAACUACUCUACAAGAAAGACUCAUGACUAAAAAUGAAUAUUAACGUCCCUUGACAUUGCGAUUUUAAGCUCCAACCCAUAUGAUGUCGAAAUCUUAAGAUACUACUCUUAUGAAAAACAUAUUUUCCUUUAACAGAGUGUUUCAUCAUGUUUAAAUCCAUUUACAAAGGACAGAACACUAAAGUACUUCAAAUUUUAUACCAAGCCAGAAGAAGCAAACUCCAAGAACGAACCAGAUGAUAUUCCCUCUUCAUCAAUUUUUUUUCAUUUUUUUAAUGAUAGCUGUAAAUCAAAUUAUUGAUGAAGCAUAUAGCUACAGUAUAUAUGAGAAAUAAGAAGGCACCAAAAUAACCUAAGCAGGGACCUAAUCAUCGAUGCAGUAAAUUUCAUACAUCACUGAUGUUAAACAAGUUCACUUUGACAUUGCAGAAAACUAGAGCAACAGUUGAUGCGCAGACUACCCCAACAGGUGCGGAGAAUCUAUGCAUGUGAUGCAAAUAUGGUGCGAAAAUGUAUAAAGAGUGGAGGAAAGACUAACAUCAACCUUAACCCUUCAAUUCCUAGCUACAUGCUCGCCUAAAUGGAAGUCCAACAACUAUGAGAAUGACAUUAAAAGGCUCACACAUUGUUACUUCAACUGAUGCAAGAUGAGAGGAAUCAAGGAACUAUUACCAACUGAAUGUAUAUAUAUUUUACACUAAAUCUCCUAACCAGCAACUACCAACGGGACUCAGCUAACAAGAAAGUUUAGAAAGAAAAUUCAUGGUGAACUCUCAAAAUUUUCAAGCAGCAAAGCCUAAGGACACAACUCAGUUCAUACAAUCUCCAACAAAUAACUCAAUUCAAUCUACGAUUCAAUCAAGAAGUUCGACUGAGUCUCUAACAAACAGUUCUGAUUUUAUGCUCCUAAUUCGACUUUCGACAAACAAAUAUCAAGAGAAUUUAGAGCAGAGUUUCAGUUUAAACUCAUGGAACUAAUCUCAUUAAACACGAAACUAGCCAAAUUUGCAACAGAGAAUGAUGAGCUAACGGAACAAUCUUAGUUCAUUUGUUAAUCUCAAAGUAACAGUGGAUCAAACAAUCUAUAAACUGAUCAAACCCGGCUCUCAUCCUAUUUUCAAUCAAACACCAAAGAUAGAUUAAGAAAAGAGAAGGAAAUUGAACCUGUUUGAUCGAGGCUUUGAUUAAUUUCGUUUUGAAUUGAAUAUAUCGGCAAUGAAAAUCCGAAUGAGACUGCAGCUAGAAGGCGACAGGAUGCAAAACCAACGAACUCGAACUCGAACGGCGAACUCGAUCUCGGCUCAAUCAAUCUCCAUGUUUAAACAUCAAUUAAAAGAAGAAACUAAAAUAUUUUGGGAUAUUUUCUGAUUUUUCAAAAUGGAAACCAGUUCGAACAAAAAUCUAAACUCACUAUUUUUUUUGUAUUUCUGUUUUUCUGGAAAAGCAAACCAAACAAAAAUCUCAAUAAAACUGAAGAGAACCCUAACUUUCUUCCAGUGUUUUUUUCUAAGUCUGUCUCCUAGUCCGAAAUUUUUCCAAAUUUUCCUCUAUUUUCUCUC